ACACCUUUCUCCUUGUCUCCCUCCUCCCACCAUGCAUUGUUGAGAGGCUGGCCGAUGGAGUAUGGGAUGAUUCAUUCCUUGACCGGGAUAGGGACCACAAAACCUUUCCUAAGGAGGAGACAGUAUACACCCCUCUUGGCCCUGAUGGUCCAGUGGGGAGAACAUGACGUGUAGAUCUUUCUACAAUUCAAUCACACAUCAGUGCUGCUAGUCCUCAUAAACUGGAACCUUUACUAGUGCAAGUGGGUCUCUCAAGAUAGCCACCAUCCCCUUCCAUGGCUUCCCAGGUUGGUGCUACCCCAACGCAGCUAAUCCUAACCUCCCUCAUCUUCUGGAGCAGAGAACAAAUGCAGAUGCUUCCCUUGGGCUGCCCAUUCCUUAUGACUAUGUGUCUCCGGGUCUAUUCUGAGAUCAGAAGGAUGCAUCAUGG